CAGCUCGAGUUUCUCUUCAUUAUCGCAUAUAUCUUUCGCCUUUUACUAAAGAUUUCCGUGGAGGGGAGCGUUUGUGAGUGUUCUGUUUUUUUGGGGGCUCUGCUUAUGGCAGAGCC